rnacentral:rRNA from 1 species
UACGUAGGGUGCAAGCGUUAAUCGGAAUUACUGGGCGUAAAGCGUGCGCAGGCGGCUUGCUAAGACAGGUGUGAAAGCCCCGGGCUUAACCUGGGAAUUGCGCUUGUGACUGGCAGGCUGGAGUGUGGCAGAGGGAGGUGGAAUUCCACGUGUAGCAGUGAAAUGCGUAGAGAUGUGGAGGAACACCGAUGGCGAAGGCAGCCUCCUGGGCCAGCACUGACGCUCAUGCACGAAAGCGUGGGGAGCAAACAGG